GAUGAACGCUGGCGGCGUGCCUAACACAUGCAAGUCGAACGAACCGACGAGCAUCUUGCUUCUCUGAUGUUAUCGUCGCACGGGUGAGUAAAACAUGGAUGACCUACCUAUAAGACUGGGGUAACUUCGGGAAACCGGAGCUAAUACCGGAUAAUAUUUUGAACCGCAGGGUUCAAAAGUAUAAGACGGUCUUGCUGUCACUUAUAGAUGGAUCCGCGCUGCAUUAGCUAGUUGGUAAGGUAACGGCUUACCAAGGCAACGAUGCAUAGCCGACCUGAGAGGGUGAGCGGCCACACUGGAAGUGUGACACGGUCCACAGUCCUACGGGAGGCAGCAGUAGGGAAUCUUCCGCAAUGGGCGAAAGCGUGACGGAGCAACGCCGCGCGAGUGAUGAAGGUCUUCGGAGCGUAAGACUCUGUUAUGAGGGAAGAACAUAUGUGGAAGUAACUGUGCACAUCGAGACGGUACCUAAUCAGAAAGCCACGGCUAACUACGUG
rnacentral:rRNA from 1 species